rnacentral:rRNA from 1 species
GCUCAGGACGAACGCUGGCGGCGUGCCUAAUACAUGCAAGUCGAGCGGACGGAUGGGAGCUUGCUCCCUGAAGUCAGCGGCGGACGGGUGAGUAACACGUGGGCAACCUGCCUGUAAGACUGGGAUAACUUCGGGAAACCGGAGCUAAUACCGGAUAAUGCAYAACCUCUCAUGAGGCUAUGCUGAAAGAUGGUUUCGGCUAUCACUUACAGAUGGGCCCGCGGCGCAUUAGCUAGUUGGUGAGGUAACGGCUCACCAAGGCAACGAUGCGUAGCCGACCUGAGAGGGUGAUCGGCCACACUGGGACUGAGACACGGCCCAGACUCCUACGGGAGGCAGCAGUAGGGAAUCUUCCGCAAUGGACGAAAGUCUGACGGAGCAACGCCGCGUGAGUGAUGAAGGUUUUCGGAUCGUAAAACUCUGUUGUCAGGGAAGAACAAGUGCCGGAGUAACUGCCGGCACCUUGACGGUACCUGACCAGAAAGCCACGGCUAACUACGUGCCAGCAGCCGCGGUAAUACGUAGGUGGCAAGCGUUGUCCGGAAUUAUUGGGCGUAAAGCGCGCGCAGGCGGUCUCUUAAGUCUGAUGUGAAAGCCCACGGCUCAACCGUGGAGGGUCAUUGGAAACUGGGGGACUUGAGUGC